GGUGUACCAGUUGUCGUGCCAACGGCAUAGCUGGGUAGCUAUGUGUGGACGGGAUAAGUGCUGAAAGCAUCUAAGCAUGAAGCCCCCCCUCAAGAUGAGAUUUCCCAACUUCGGUUAUAAGAUCCCUCAAAGAUGAUGAGGUUAAUAGGUUCGAGGUGGAAGCAUGGUGACAUGUGGAGCUGACGAAUACUAAUCGAUCGAAGACUUUAA
rnacentral:rRNA from 1 species